rnacentral:rRNA from 1 species
AGGAUGGGAGCUUGCUCCCUGAAGUCAGCGGCGGACGGGUGAGUAACACGUGGGCAACCUGCCUGUAAGACUGGGAUAACUCCGGGAAACCGGGGCUAAUACCGGAUAACUCUUUUCCUCACAUGAGGAAAAGCUGAAAGAUGGUUUCGGCUAUCACUUACAGAUGGGCCCGCGGCGCAUUAGCUAGUUGGUGAGGUAACGGCUCACCAAGGCCACGAUGCGUAGCCGACCUGAGAGGGUGAUCGGCCACACUGGGACUGAGACACGGCCCAGACUCCUACGGGAGGCAGCAGUAGGGAAUCUUCCGCAAUGGACGAAAGUCUGACGGAGCAACGCCGCGUGAGUGAUGAAGGUUUUCGGAUCGUAAAACUCUGUUGUCAGGGAAGAACAAGUACCGGAGUAACUGCCGGUACCUUGACGGUACCUGACCAGAAAGCCACGG